CUUCGUGUCACUUGGUAACGUGUGGCGACGUCAACCAGGGAAGUGUUUAUUACACCCGGUGAUCGUCCAUGCUUCGGCAUCCCUAAAGAUAUGGCCACCGCUAAGAAGCUGACAGACAACUAUCUGACCUGUGUCAUCUGUACGGAGGUGUUCACAGACCCUGCCACACUUCAGUGUAAUCACACAUUCUGUAAGUCCUGUCUGCUGAAAUACACCAAAACACAGUCUGAAGCAAUACAAGCCAAGUCCAUUCCCAUGUCCCUCCUGUAGACAACAGACAAAGGUGACCAACCCUGACAGUCCAGUGAAGGAUUGGGUCAGUCAGCUGAAACCAAGCCACGUCAUACAGAGUCUGAUGGACGAUUUGGGGGGAUCGCCAGAUGUUGAUGUCUGUUGUGUGUGCAAAGAAGAUGGCCAAACAACUCCAGGUACAAUGUGGUGCACCAUUUGUGAAGAUGUCUUCUGUGAUGCGUAUCAAGUUGCACAAGAAGAUGCCACUAUCACGUGACCAUGAACUGUUUGAUGUACGUAUCCAUGGAAACAGGAAACCCAAAGUACGUAGCUUUAUGUGCAGAAUUCACAAGGACGAGAAUAUGAAACUGUUCUGUAAAGACUGCAGGAUGGCAAUGUGUACUGUAUGCUGCAGCAUCAAACACCGGAAGUGUGAUGAUGUUGAAACCAUAGAUGUCAUGAUGCCCUUUGUCAAAGAAACUCUGGUGAAUGAAACAAGGAACCAAGAGAAGAAGAUACAAACUUAUAUCGACAAUAUUUCAUCAACAAACUCGAAAAUUGCAAAGCUAACGACUAGUGCACGAGAAAUGAAAAGAUGAAGUUAGGAAAGUUUGCAUGGCAGCUACCGACGUUCUUGUGAGAAAGAAAGGGAACUGCUGGAUCGCAUCGACAAACUCACUGAGUCCAAUGCACAAGAACUGAAAAGCCCACAGAAAGAGCCAGGAGAUUGAUCUCCAGGUGGAACAGCAGCGGUAUGGGUUCACAAACAAUGUUUUGACUUCAGACUGUGUAGCUGACAUGUUUGAUAUGUAUGAGACUGUGGAUGGAACAUCUAGAGAUGAAGAUGCAAGUGAGAACAAGAGGCCACGGACAUCCAGCAUCAUCUUCACACACGACACAGAUACGCUGAUGAGAUCUGUGGAUAGGGUGAAACUUGGGGAGGUCAAGGUUGUUCCCACAUUAUCGCCUGUUCUUGUGCAAGAAAUUUACUGUAAUAAUGAUCAGUUCGGAUUACACAUGUAUGACGUUGCUGUGUUGACUGUUCAUAAUGCCAAGGUAACUCUUGUGUCAGAUGACUAUAACCAUUGUCUCAGAGUAUUUAAUACUUCAAUCAAAACAUCCUCCCAAUCACUUGUACAGCUUCCUUCUGUCCCAAGACAAAUAGCCAAGGUGGGUGAAGCUAAGGCAGCUGUUGCUCUGCCACACACAGGACAAAUAGUGUUCAUCAAGUUUGAUCCUGGACCUACAAUAGAGUCAACAGUCAAUACACGGAGGAAGUAAUCGGGUUGGCCUGUCUGAACGCUUCACAACUUAUAGCAGGUGGUAACGAUGGUCGUUCCUCAGUUGACAUUCUGGAUAUGAGAGGAAAUGUACUGAAAUCUAUCAACACAGGUGUGGUAAGUAAUCCACAAUUCAUUCAUGUUACAAGGAAUAA
rnacentral:lncRNA from 1 species